rnacentral:rRNA from 1 species
CCUACGGGAGGCAGCAGUGGGGAAUAUUGCACAAUGGAGGGAACUCUGAUGCAGCGACGCCGCGUGAGUGAAGAAGGAAUUCGUUAUGUAAAGCUCUAUCAGCAGGGAAGAAAGUGACGGUAACUGAAAAAGAAGCUCAGGCGAAAUACGUGCCAGCAGCCGAGGUAAUACGUAUGGAGCAAGCGGUAUCCGGACUUACUGGGUGGAAAGGGAGAGUAGGUGGCAGAGCAAGUCCGAAGUGAAAACCAAAAGCUCAAUUAUGGGAAUGCUUUAGAAAGUGCUCAGCUAGAGUGCAGGAGAGGCAAGUGGAAUGCUUAGUGUAGCGGUGAAAUGCGUAGAUAUUAGGAGGAACACCAGUGGCGAAGGCGGCUUGCUGGACUGUAACUGACACUGAGGCUCGAAAGCGUGGGGAGCAAACAGGAUUAGAUACCCUUGUAGUC